rnacentral:rRNA from 1 species
UCCUACGGGAGGCAGCAGUGGGGAAUAUUGCACAAUGGGCGNAAGCCUGAUGCAGCGACGCCGCGUGNGGGAUGACGGCCUUCGCGUUGUAAACUCCUUUCGCUAGGGACGAAGCUUUUUGUGACGGUACCUAGAUAAGAAGCACCGGCUAACUACGUGCCAGCAGCCGCGGUAAUACGUAGGGUGCGAGCGUUGUCCGGAAUUACUGGGCGUAAAGGGCUCGUAGGUGGUUUGUCGCGUCGUCUGUGAAAUUCCGGGGCUUAACUCCGGGCGUGCAGGCGAUACGGGCAUAACUUGAGUACUGUAGGGGUAACUGGAAUUCCUGGUGUAGCGGUGAAAUGCGCAGAUAUCAGGAGGAACACCGAUGG